rnacentral:rRNA from 1 species
GGGGAAUUUUGGACAAUGGGGGCAACCCUGAUCCAGCCAUCCCGCGUGUGCGAUGAAGGCCUUCGGGUUGUAAAGCACUUUUGUCAGGGAAGAAACAGCGCGGGCUAAUAUUCUGCGCGAAUGACGGUACCUGAAGAAUAAGCACCGGCUAACUACGUGCCAGCAGCCGCGGUAAUACGUAGGGUGCAAGCGUUAAUCGGAAUUACUGGGCGUAAAGGGUGCGCAGGCGGUUUAUCAAGAAAGGUGUGAAAUCCCCGGGCUCAACCUGGGAAUGGCACUUUUAACUGAUAGGCUAGAGUAUGUCAGAGGGGGGUAGAAUUCCACGUGUAGCAGUGAAAUGCGUAGAGAUGUGGAGGAAUACCGAUGGCGAAGGCAGCCCCCUGGGAUAAUACUGACGCUCAUGCACGAAAGCGUGGGGAGCAAACA